rnacentral:lncRNA from 1 species
CAUGUAUAGUCCUUGCUGCCGUCCCUCCGUGCAGCGGGAUCACCGGCUGGCGAGCGCCUGUGCGCGGUGAGCUGGGAACAACUGGUGUGUAGUGGGUGGUGCAACAGACAGGCCUGUCAUUGCUAAGACAAGAUAAACCUGAAAGGGAGGACAGAAUAAAAACCAGGUGGAA